CAUGGGGCUUCAGCGAUCUUGACUACACACCUCUGUCAGCUCCACCUCGAAGAGAACAGCUAGCUGUAGCAGCCCUUCCUCAUUUUAUUUAAGGAUUGGUGGUCAACAGCUGCCUUCCCCAGAUCCCAGCUUCAAAAAAAAAAUGUUAACCAACGAAGAAUAACUCCAAAUAGGAUUCAGAUUGAAACCAUUUUUUGAAUGGAGUUUCAGAUUGGAUGGAUGGUCUCCUAUGUCUACCUGCCUCUCCAACUCUGUUCUGCCAACCAAACUCCUUGGUAAGAUUGAAUCACACUGCUAAAACAAAUACAGACUCAAAGAC